rnacentral:rRNA from 1 species
UCAUGACAUAAAUAAAAAAAAUCGAAUAUUACGAACAACAGUUUAAAAUUCAAAGAUCUUGGCGGUGUCUUAUAAAACCAGGGGAACCUGUCUCAUAACUCGAUAGUCCACGAUCAUCCCACCCUCUUUUGAAAUUCAGCCUGUGUACUGCCGUUGUAAGCAUACCUCUAAAAGACCCAGUAUGCUACCAUGAUUAAAUAAAUAUUAACCCACAUACAUCAGGUCAUAGUGCAGCUAAUAAGGGGGAGACGAUGGGUUACAGCCUAAAAAAAGAAAUGAAUUAAAGAAUAAAAAACCUUUAUGAAAUUGGACUUGAUUGUAAUUAUAAACUACACUAAUAUAAUGAAAUAAUAUCUAAGACAUGCACAUAUCGCCCGUCACUCUACCCCAAAGGGU